rnacentral:rRNA from 2 species
UUUAAGGUCUAACCUGCCCAAUGAGGAUUUAAAUGGCCGCAGUAUUUUGACUGUGCAAAGGUAGCAUAAUUAUUAGUUUUUUAAUUGAAAGCUUGUAUGAAGGGUUGGACGAGAUAAAAUCUGUCUUUAUUUAAAUUAAAGUAUAAUUUAACUUUUAAGUCAAAAGGCUUAAAUGUUUAUAAAAGACGAGAAGACCCUAUAGAUCUUUAUUUAGUUAAGGCUUUAAUAAUUUAGGAUUAUUUUAAUUUGGAGUUUUAAUUAAAUUUUAUUGGGGUAAUAUAAAGAUUAAAUGAAUUCUUUUUAUUUAUGACAUUAAUUUAUGAAUAUAUGAUCCAUUAAUAUUGAUUAUAAGAUUAAGUUACCUUAGGGAUAACAGCGUAAUUUUUUUGGAGAGCUCAUAUCGAUAAGAAAGUUUGCGACCUCGAUGUUGGAUUAAAAAUUAGCUUGGGUGCAGAAGCUCAAGAUUUUGGUCUGUUCGACCAUUAAAUUUUUACAUGAUCUGAGUUCAGACCGGCGUAAGCCAGGUCGGUUUCUAUCUUUAUUCAGAUAAAAUAUUUUAGUACGAAAGGACCAAGUAUUUAAUAUAUUUAUAUUUAUUUUUUGAAGAAUAUU